rnacentral:lncRNA from 1 species
GGUUCCACAAACCCAGGCUAAAGCCUUCAUGAUGCACUCAAGAAGUACUUUAAAGAGUUUCUGAUGACUAGAGCAGGGAAAACAACCACUGUAGAACACCCUAGAAAGUUAAUUAGCAGAUGUGAAGGAUUGAAUAAUAUGAACUUUAGAUGACUCCACCCUACUUAGUCUAACAAAAACAGGAAUGUCUAUACCCAUACUUAAGGAUUAAGUAUUUAGGAGGAUGGCAUAUGACAGACAUGUGCUAGCAAAUGACAAAUAAAAAACAACUGACAGAUACCUGGACUGUCCUAAGUCAAGCUUAAGCCACCAUUGGUACAUGUGAGACUCAGGAAAGUGAUGUAUAAACCAUCUAUGUAUUUUGCAUCACUUCCUCUCUCUGGCCUCUUUCCACAGAGAGGUGCUUCUGGCAACAGUUUGCUGAGCGUUUCAGCAUCUUGGUAUGGUGGCAGCUAUUGUCCAGUUUUUGGCGAUUUAAAUAUUUUCUUCAACACAGAGUUGGUCAGAUUAUGAAGAGACAGCUAAUUUAGAAUGAUUACCAUAUCAGUAAGCAAUAUUUUUCCUCUUUGUUCUCCAUUCUGUCAUCCAUAUGAAUGCCAAAGAAUUUCAUUUAUAUACCAAAUAAUGAUUUAUUUUGAGAGGGGGA